rnacentral:lncRNA from 1 species
UUAUGGUGUCCAGAUAACCAUUUGUUAGAUAGCUCUCAUCUGCAUCAAGAUUAAGGUACUGUUUGGGGUUGCUGUUGCAGACAGCAACAGCAGCUUUUUGCUGAAAAGCAGGUGAAAAACUGUUUGAUAAAUCUAAAAGCAGCUUUUCCGAACAGCAGUUUUUAGCUGAAAAGCUGCUGUUAGAAAAAGGAGGUCCUCCCAUGCUUUUAGAAAAAGCUGCUUUUCAGUUUUUGCAGAAUGCUGUUAUAAACUUCAUUAUAAAAUCUCACCAAAAUCAUUAUUUUUUUAUAUUAUAACCCAAAAUAAGUAAAUAUUAAAAAAAUUACCAAACAGUUAUCUGAUUUCUACAACAGCACUUAUUUUACCAGCACUUUUUCUAACAGCACAUCAAUUUUUAACAGCACUCCCAAACAGACCCUAAUUAAAACUGAUUGCUUUAUUUGUAUGAAUUCUAUUAUAGACAUUAAUUUAUUAAUAACAUGCUUAUAUAGUUAUAUGUUAUUGCAGUUGUAUGCUGACCCUAAUUUGGGAAAUCGUACCUUUAAGUGGUACAAGACCUCGUUCAAGCACAUUUUUGAACUGAUAAAUUCCCAUAAAUGCACAUGCAGAAAUUGUCCAAAGCAAAACAAUAGGAAUUCCAAGUGAAUGUGCUGCAUCAGCCGUGAAUGGCAGAAAACCAUCGGAGAGUAUAGAAGUGACCUGAUGCGUUCCAGCAUUAAGCUCUGCGAGGAGAUUCUGAAAUGGAGGCAGCAUUCUUUUUUCAAAGACGGAUACCAAAAGUUAAGGUAUGUCUUGGGUUUUGUCAGCAUCAGAUGGAGGAAGGCCAUCAGUGAUGGUUUGGAAUCUGAAACUAGCUACGUCUCCUAGAGAUUGAAGACCUCCUGAUUUGAGAAAGCGUUUGUGGUUGAACUUCGUGUUCACAAAGGUAAUAAAAAUGCCUUUGCUGUGAAGGAUCCUUGCCAUUUUCAGUAUACCCUUAAUGUGGCUUUGAGAAGGGGCAGGUAUGCAAACUACAUGAGCCUGCUUCUUUGCUGCUGUGCUUGCGGAUGAAUCCAUAGAUGUUCUAAUAAAAUUUUGUGUUAGUACCAUGCCACACCCUUCCAAGCUUAUUAUGUGAUACCAACCGUGUUAGAGCGUCUACAACAAAUUGGUUACGUGAUGUUAAAGCGAAUGAUCCAAAUGAAAUACUCGAAAGUUAAGAAGUAGGGACGUAGAGUUAUCUUCUUGGCGAUUAUGAUUAUUCAGCAGUGACAGAGAGUUUUCAGCAUCCUAGCAUCAUAUGUUUAUGCUCCUUCCCAUUCUUAACGGACUGGAAAACAAAUUAAGUGAUAGUGCAGAAGGUUUUCGAAAUUCAAAUUUAUCUACUGGUUGAAAUUUAGAAGCUGUGCUACAUCGAUAUGAAUAGAUUUUCCUCAAUCAUUCACAUAGAUUCAGCAGUCGUGAAACGCUUACAUUUCUAUAUGACAUUAUGUUCAAACUUUUCUGAAUCUGUAUGAGCACAGAGAAAAGGAAAUAAAACGGAUCUAUAUGAACCAAAACCAACUAGCAAUUGUGAAACAUGC